AGCUACGCUGACGUCAUUUCCGCAGAGGAAGUAAAAAUACGGAAGUGUAUUCUGAUAUCACGACGUACAGAUCCAGUGGGCAACAUGGAAAAAAAGCCUGGAAAAACACAUGGACGAAACGUUUAAGCUGCCUGGUGUUGCUGCAGUGCUGUGCACCGAUGGACAUGGGCUCUGUCUGGGUGCUAAGGGUAGUGCUCCCAAGCAGGCCUCUGGCCCCAUCGCUACAUUGGCCGCCAUGGCAGGUGACUUGUGUCCCACCAACACCACCAGUCCAGUUGUGUGCAUCGAGUCUGAAGCAGGGAGCGUCCUCAUCAAGAGCUGUGACAGUCUGUCAGUUGCAGUUUUCAAGGCCACGUGAUGCUGACACACUCAACCUGCACAGUAUUUAUUCAACAAAUCUUGUAAUAUGAGCAAUGUCAUCUGUAAAAUAUAACAUCCCUUUAUUCCUGCUAUGUUCUGCAGACGCAAGUGAUUGCCUGAAGUAAGGAAAUCUCCCUUCAUAGUCAAACCCUGGUUGUAUUGCUGUCAGUAGCAAGCCAGUGAUUAUUGAACACCACAAUCAGCUACUGAUCUGGACAUUCAGGCAUUACCAAAUGUAAUUGAAAAUAAUUCACUGAUCAGGAUGUAAUCAGGCUUUUCAUGAAAUAAUUUAUUCAUCAACUCUCCAAACAACUGUCUGAUCUUAAAUACUCUUGAAUAUAUAGUAGUAAUAUGUUCAGCUGUGUGGAACAUUGGAGAGUGCAUAUACACACGUUGACUGUGUGUGGUUAAGGUUAAGUACACCUUAUUGUCAUGAAAUACACGUGUUGACUGCCUGUUCAUGCUUGUGUUGUCUGUCAACAGCCAUGGAGUUUAAGUACACCUUAUUGUCAUGAAAUACACAUGUUGACUGCCUGUUCAUGCUUGUGUUGUCUGUCAACACCAAUGGAAGUUAAGUACACCUGUGUGUUAUAAAAUAUACAUGUUGACUGCC